rnacentral:misc_RNA from 1 species
GAUGAAGAACGCAGCGAAAUGCGAUAAGUAAUGUGAAUUGCAGAAUUCAGUGAAUCAUCGAAUCUUUGAACGCACCUUGCACCCUUUGGUAUUCCGAAGGGUAUGCUCGUUUGAGUGUCAUUGUACUCUCACACUUCUAAUUCCUUUAGGGAUUGGGAGCGGUGGACUUGGGUGUUGCUGCUUUAGUUGUGGCUCACCUCAAAUAAGUUAGUGCAACUCUUGGUUGGACAUAGUACGGCGUGAUAAGUGUCUUCGCCGGCGCCUCUGUAAGGAGGGUGGCCGAUCGGGAGCGCUGUGCUUCAAACCGUCUUCGGACAAUCUUUGACAACUUGACCUCAAAUCGAGUAGGACUACCCGCUGAACUUAAGCAUAUCAAUAGCGGAGGA